rnacentral:tRNA from 1 species
GGCCUUAGCUCAGCUGGGAGAGCGCCUGCUUUGCACGCAGGAGGUCAGCGGUUCGAUCCGCUAGGCUCCAUUAA